GUUGGGGUGGAGAAGAAACCAAGAAUGUUAGUUGUGCAAGCCUCCGAACUGGAAAUGCUUUCAAAUACUGUGUAAAGGAGAAGGAGAAACCUAAACGUGUGGAGUGGCUAUCAGUGAUUUCCAAUAAGACGUCUACGUGGCUUGCUUCGUGGCUCUAUCAACACAAAAACACUACACAUGCACACAAUGUGAUUGAUGUCAGCUACUCCUGCAUCACCCUCCUGGACUGUGUCAAUGUAGACCACACUGCCAUAAGUGAUCGGUCUGAGCAUUUGACCCAUUUCAAUGUGUCUGGUGCAUCAGAUGAGUCAAAGAAGCCUUUGGAGAAAGAGCCUGACAGUCAGAAUACAACUGCAGGUGAGUGUUUCUCUGUAACAACAGAGCAGAGCAUAUUGAAUGAGAGCUGUUGUUUCCACUGGCUCUCUGUUGGGUAGUCAUCAAAUGAUUCUCAGUUGUAAAUGUCAUUAACUACGUCUUUCAUUUUAUUUGUAAUAUUAUUGCAUCUCUGACAAUUGAUUGAUGCAGUCAAAUUCCAUAUGACCGUUGAGUCACGGUAACUAGGCUUCUCCAAAACUGUGCUCUGAUGCCACUGAUGGUCAUUAGGAGCCUACCAAACCUGCUAACGGACAGUCGCUAAUGGUGUGUUCCCUCUAAUCACUCUGACAGAACCCUGGCAUUCAGAGUUUGAGUGGAGUAGGAUCACCUGUUGCUCAGUGAGAGCCAGCUCCUUAUAACUGGUUGAUACAUGGAAUAAAAUAAGUGUCCCUAUAUAGGUUUACGUUGCACAACCUUUCUAUAGGCUAUAUUUUGUAUUUGCGUGAGAAAACAGUUUUGAUGGCCUAUAUUAAAAAGAGGAUCCCAUCAGCUUUCUAUAGGCUAGGCCUACUAUAUUUAUUUCUCAACUUUGCUCAUAUUAAGCACAUUGCUUCGCUUUACAACUGGAGAAGCCUACCUGGCUGGGCUGAAAAUGAGCUGCUGGAAAGGUGUCCUCCAUUUGCUAUUCAAGUGCAGUCUUUUCCCCCUGCCCCUGUUCCGACAGAGGUAUGAUAAUGGUCUAUUCUACAUCCAAACCAGUUCCCACAUAUAUUAUUUAGCAUACUGUAUGGAAAGACAAUAUUAGAGUAAGAAUUGUCUGAUGUGUGAGAAUAUUACCACGUGUAUAGUCUAUAAGGCAAGAAACAGUACUUGAAUCGUUGGGUGACUUUUUCAAAUCAAAGUCGCAUGCAUCAUGGUUUUCUUUUCUGGAUUGAUUUUCUUUUCUGGAUUUAUCGACUGAUGGCCUGUAAGGUCUGGAAAGAUAUAUCCAUUUGUUCUUCUGGAGAACUAAGAACCCAGCAAAUGUAUGUGGACACCCCUUCAAAUUACUGGAUUCGGCUAUUUCAGCCACACCCAUUUCUAACAGGUGUGUAAAA